GCUAGCUUGCUGGUGUGGGAACAACACAGAACACCACAGAGAAGGUUAGUGUGUGCCCAGCACGAGGAUCACAUGCAAAUUCAUGAGGCAUUAUGUAUUUCU
rnacentral:snRNA from 1 species